UAACCAUGUUGUGGGCAUCUACUCAAUAAAUCUUUGUAUCUCUCCCAACAUUCAUAGAGUUGUUCAUAAGGUUGUUGAGAGAAAGCUACAAUCUUAUAUCUCAAUUU